UAGACUCAAAGGACGUUUGCAUCCAUGUAUUUCUCCUUCUGAGAAUGGAGUAAUCAACGGCAAGAUCAAAGAUGGGAUUCCAUGCUUGGUUCCAAAGGAUGGAAAAAUACUUGAGGAGGAAAGUGGGACAUCAAAAGCUUAAUGACUUUUGCUUUUACACCAAAAAUAUAAAAUGAUCAGAGUGAAAAGGUAACAACUUGUAUCUGCAGCGACUUAUCAAUGGUUCUUUCUGUCUUCACAUUUUAGACUUGUGAGCACUUUUAAGUUUGAAGUUUUAAUGGGAACAUUGAUGUAAGAAAUUGAAAGUCAAUAGAAGUGUAGUUGCAGUUGAA